rnacentral:rRNA from 1 species
GACGAACGCUGGCGGCGUGCCUAAUACAUGCAAGUUGAGCGAUGAAGAUUGGUGCUUGCACCAAUUUGAAGAGCAGCGAACGGGUGAGUAACGCGUGGGGAAUCUGCCUUUGAGCGGGGGACAACAUUUGGAAACGAAUGCUAAUACCGCAUAACAACUUUAAACAUAAGUUUUAAGUUUGAAAGAUGCAAUUGCAUCACUCAAAGAUGAUCCCGCGUUGUAUUAGCUAGUUGGUGAGGUAAAGGCUCACCAAGGCGAUGAUACAUAGCCGACCUGAGAGGGUGAUCGGCCACAUUGGGACUGAGACACGGCCCAAACUCCUACGGGAGGCAGCAGUAGGGAAUCUUCGGCAAUGGACGAAAGUCUGACCGAGCAACGCCGCGUGAGUGAAGAAGGUUUUCGGAUCGUAAAACUCUGUUGGUAGAGAAGAACGUUGGUGAGAGUGGAAAGCUCAUCAAGUGACGGUAACUACCCAGAAAGGGACGGCUAACUACGAG